AAUGAACGCUGGCGGCGCGCCUAAUACAUGCAAGUCGAGCGAGAAGACGUAGCAAUACGUUUGUAAAGCGGCGAACGGGUGAGGAAUACAUGGGUAACCUACCCUCGAGUGGGAAUAACUAGCCGAAAGGUUAGCUAAUACCGCGUACGCUUCUUGGACUUCGGUUCAGGGAGGAAAGCGAUGCCGAGGGUAUCGCGCUCUUGGAUGGGCUCAUGUCCUAUCAGCUUGUUGGGAGGUAACGGCUCACCAAGGCUUCGACGGGUAGCUGGUCUGAGAGGACGAUCAGCCACACUGGCACUGCGACACGGGCCAGACUCCUACGGGAGCAGCAGUAAGGAUAUUGCGCAAUGGGCGAAAGCCUGACGCAGCGACGCCGCGUGGGGGA
rnacentral:rRNA from 1 species